rnacentral:rRNA from 1 species
AUUGAACGCUGGCGGCAUGCCUUACACAUGCAAGUCGAACGGUAACAGGCCGCAAGGUGCUGACGAGUGGCGAACGGGUGAGUAAUGCAUCGGAACGUGCCCAGUCGUGGGGGAUAACUGCUCGAAAGAGCAGCUAAUACCGCAUACGACCUGAGGGUGAAAGCGGGGGACCGUAAGGCCUCGCGCGAUGGGAGCGGCCGAUGUCAGAUUAGCUAGGUGGUGGGGUAAAGGCCUACCAAGGCAACGAUCUGUAGUUGGUCUGAGAGGACGACCAGCCACACUGGGACUGAGACACGGCCCAGACACCUACGGGAGGCAGCAGUGGGGAAUUUUGGACAAUGGGCGCAAGCCUGAUCCAGCAAUGCCGCGUGCAGGAAGAAGGCCUUCGGGUUGUAAACUGCUUUUGUCAGGGAAGAAAUCUUCUGGGCUAAUACCCCGGGAGGAUGACGGUACCUGAAGAAUAAGCACCGGCUAACUACGUGCCAGCCGCCGCCGUAACAC